rnacentral:rRNA from 1 species
CAGUCGCCGCGGUAAUACGAAGGGGGCUAGCGUUGUUCGGAUUUACUGGGCGUAAAGGGCGCGUAGGCGGACUGAUAAGUCAAGGGUGAAAUCCCAAGGCUCAACCCUGGAACUGCCUUUGAUACUGUUUGUCUUGAGUUCGAGAGAGGUAAGUGGAACUGCGAGUGUAGAGGUGAAAUUCGUAGAUAUUCGCAAGAACACCAGUGGCGAAGGCGGCUUACUGGCUCGAAACUGACGCUGAGGCGCGAAAGCGUGGGGAGCAAACAGGAUUAGAUACCCCAGUAGUCCCUGUCUCUUAUAC